UCUAUUUGGAGAUAUAAGAAGUCUGGCCUGCCCMCUGAUAUAAAUGUUUAAGGGCCGCGGUAUUCUAACCGUGCAAAGGUAGCAUAAUCAUUAGGUUUUUAAAUGGAAUCUCGUAUGAAUGGUUGAACAAAAGAGAAGCUGUCUUUAUAUUAGGUUUAAAUUUAACUUUUAAGUGAGAAGGCUUAAAUGGUUUAGAGGGACGAUAAGACCCUAUAAAGCUUUACAUUGUAAUUAUAUUUUGUUGAAUUUGUAGUUUAAAAAUUUAAUUUAAUUAUUUGUUUUGUUGGGGAGACAAAGGUAAAAUUUAUAUUAACUGCUUGAAAAAAAAACAAUAAUGAGUGAUUAAAGUUAAUAGAUCCUAAAUAAAGAUUAAAAGAGUAAGUUACUUUAGGGAUAACAGUGUAAUUUUUUUUAAGAGUUCUUAUCGAAAAAAAAGUUUACAACCUCGAUGUUGAAUUAAAAUAUCUUUAUAAUGCAGCUGUUAUAAAAGAAGGUCUGUUCGACCUUU
rnacentral:rRNA from 1 species